UCCAGAAUCUCCCACAAACACACGCAUAUAUAUCCCUCUUUAAUGGAUGACCACCAUUCUCUCCGGUGGCCUCCGGGCAAAUGCGAAAAACAUACUUACCUUAAACCGUCCGCCGUGGCCGCGCUUCACUCUCAAUCCUCACUCUGAAAAAACCAUCAACCCUCUCUCCCUCUCUCUCCCUCUCAGGUGUAGUGGUGACAUGUGAAGUGCCGAAUUCGGUUUUGUUAAGUUUGAGCGGUACCGGAAUCCACUUCAUGAGUUUAAAACAAGGCGUUUCGCCAAAACUUGCGGACAACAAGCAACAGCAGAAGUGUUGGAAUGGGAGGACUAGGAAGGAUAUAUAAGGUAGGAUAAAUUUGAAAAUUUUGAGAGUAUUUUGAAAGAAUCCAGGUGUUGUUAUUAAUCCUUAAUAUUUGUAGGGAAAACAUAAAGUAUUUAUAAGCAAAUCUUUACAGAGAAAAAUCAAGAGUGAUUUUGUUACUGCCAGAAAUACAAACAUGCUAAAGUCGCCAGAGACACGAACAUGCCGAAGCUCUUCCUAUCUGCUUGGAAUCUGUUCACCGGAGAAAGAGGGAGAGAGGGUUUUUGUGAGGAAACUUGAGAAAAUUUGAGGGAAAUAAAGAUUUUAUCUGUUGGUUUCAGCGUGAGGUUUUCUUUUUUUCUUUUUUUCU